CACCAGACUCAAAGCAAGAGAAAACCCCAAUGGCCACCAACGCAUUUGGCGUGAAGGUUGAAAAGAAUCCAACUCAAUCCCAACUCACUGAGCUUGGAGUCACCACAUGGCCAAAGUAUGUCUCUCGAACUUUACUUUAUCAUCCCAAGUUGAAAAGGGUUUAACUUUUAUGUUUGGAUGAUGGGUAUGCUUAGUUUUGGCUGGUAUGUAAUUGCUUAUGGUUUUUGGAGGUAGCUACUGAAAUCAGCUGCUUCUUGUUGAGUAUUUGUUGAAUUGUUGAUAAUAGGGAUGAUGAGUGCUUGGUUUGACUAGUGUGGGAGUGCUUAUGGUAUUCGAAGAGGUCCUUUAAUUACUGGGUAGACCAUUUGUGUCUAAUAGUUGAGAUGGUGAGAUGGUUUAUGGGGGAUAGCCGGAUAGUUAGAAAGUCAGAUCCUUCAGCUUCGGAGUGGAUACUUUCUAACAUUCUGGGUGUUUGAUAUGCUUGACUUGACUAGUGUGAAAAUGCUUAUGUUUUUGGUGAUAUCUAAAGAACAUUGGAUCCCUUACCUACUGAGUAGAGUGCUAGAGUUUUUGUUUCUGGAAUUGUGGAUAUUUGGCUUAUGUUUUAUUCGACUAAUGUUGAGAGGCUUAUGUUAUUAAUUUGGAGAUAGCUAUAGGAGUUUAGAUUCUCAAGUUGCGGAGUAGAAACCUUUGUUUAUGCUAUUUUGGAUGAUGGGCACACUUGGUUUGGCUAGUGUGAAAUGGGUUGUGGUGAUAGUUAUUGAAUUGGAGAUCCUUUUAGUGCUUAGAGUGCUCUUUAGUUAAUUCAUCUUUCAAGCUGUUCUGGAUAAAGGGAGUAUCAUGAUAGAUCAAGAUGGAGGCUGCCAGUAGGUUGUGAAGGGAAGAAUCAAUUUUACAUUUUGGCAUACCUCAUUUACGUACACUCUUUUACAAAGUUGGCAGGACACAAGUGAAGUAGAUUGUGAUUAAGUCUCAGUACUGCACUUUAUGAUUCAUUUUACAUUUCAGACUAUAAGCCACUAAGCCUGGUACAUCACAUCAAGGUGGGAAUGCGGUCCAAGCAAAUUCCCAUGGAGCUUCACUGCUACAGAGACUAUGUACUUGCUGAAGGGGAAGGUGAAUGUAGAAGUAGACGGGCAUGAAGGAUCUUUUGAGAUUGGGGCAGGUGAUUUGGUUGUUUUCCCUAAAGGAAUGAAGGUCACCUGGGAUGUCAUUGAAGGUGUGAACAAGCACUAUAGCUUGGA